rnacentral:lncRNA from 1 species
UCGCUUCCUUGGUGGGUUUCCAUGCAGCCUUUUCCACCUUUGUCCCAAGAACUUUGUCGUUCUUGUAGUCAGCGAUCGGUUCUUUCUUCCCAUGAUGGGCGAUGCUCAACUCCAUGUCAUGGGCGCGAGUGGCCAAUUCCUCGAAGGUCCGUGGUUUAAUGCCUUGAAGGAUGUAUUGCAAACCCCAUUGCAUGCCUUGGAUGCACAUCUC